AGCACUUUCCCGUCCUCUCACACAUGCACCUUAAAGAAACUGAAAGACCAGAGUUGAAGAAAAAAUGGGAGGCUACUCUUCUGAUCCUGAGUCGUGGAUUUCAUCUAACAAAAACUCUUUCCAAAACCACCACGAAUCCGAAGCCCUAACCUUUACACCCCCUCGCAAUGGCUUCCAUCAACAAAAUGCACACCUCUCUAAAUCGAGCAGCAGCAAGAGCUUGCGGCCUAGCAAGAAGAAGAAAAAUCAAGUCUUGCUCGAGGGGUAUGUGGAAACGGAUUCGGAAGAUGACUUGAAGAGAACUAAGAGUUUGACUGAUGAAGACCUUGAUGAGUUAAAAGGGUGCUGUGAUCUUGGUUUUGGAUUCAGUUAUGAAGAAAUUCCUGAGCUUUGUAACACUUUGCCUGCUCUUGAAUUGUGUUACUCCAUGAGUCAGAAGUUCUUGGAUGAGCACCAUAAGUUGCCGGAAAGGAUUCCGGUGGCUGAGUCGGUUGUCAGCCCCAUUGCAAAUUGGAAGAUCUCCAGUCCUGGCGACCAUCCGGAAGAUGUGAAAGCAAGGCUGAAAUAUUGGGCACAGGCUGUGGCCUGCACAGUUAGAUUGUGCAGCUGAGGCGGAGAUUCAGCAACUAAUUGUUUCAUCAAUUGAAAAGAAAAUGAAACUGACGUUUUCUUUACGAUCGAAAAUCACAAAUCUAUUGCCUGGACAUUGAUCUGUAGCAUCAGCUCCGCCGAUCUAUUCCAGAAAUCCUUCUUACUGGAAUGAAAAUUGCAACUAUUUGUUAGCUGGAGAUGAACCUACCAUAACCAAUCAAAUGAUGGGUUGCCUGUAAAGGAGUAGAGAAGAGGAGCAAGGGAAACAAUGUCCCAGCAGUGAGAGUCUCCAUUAGAGCUUCACCAAAUAGUUUGAGACCUCUGCAUUUGCUGAGUCUGUAUGGAUUUACGAAUUCCCCCCAACUGCAAAGACAAGUAUCAAUGGGUAGAGAAAAGAAGUGAAGGAGAAGAAGUGCAAACAUGUACAUCUCUUGAUGGAUUACAGAAUUUCCCAAAUUUCAUUUUUGGUUAACUUGUUUGCGUUAGAAGCAGGAUAUGAUUAGAAGAACAAUUUUUUGACAUAUGAGAUUUCAUAUUCUGUGCCUUUUCUAACUGCAUUAGUAACACUGAUAUAGGAUGUUUUGGCCAUGUCUAGUCUUUAAUCGGGUGGGAAAUCACAGAUGAUUUUAAUUUUGGACCUUGAAAGGUUGAUAGCGAUAUUACUAGUAUUGUUAUCGAUUUGAGAUGUUUGGAGCAGAAAACUUAAGGCCUGUGACAUAGAAGUAAAACUUACAAACAAACAUAGAUGGUUACAUUCAAGUGGAAGGAGAAAGUUGUAUGUGUUUUGAUAAGUGGUUAAAUUGUUGAGACAAAUCCAGAUGUAUGCACCACUCCCAUAACACAAAACCCACAAGGCAUUUAGAGAGAAAGGUUAGAAGUUUCAAAUGGGAAAGUUGUCUAUAUUUCUUGUCAUAGUAUCUUUUGAUAACAGAUUAAGUUGUACCCUGUGUGACUUGAGAGUUGGGCACAUAUAGACCUCCUAAAACUUAAGAGAGAAACUCAACAUAAUACUGAAAAUGAUUGAAAGCAAGAACAUGAAACCAGUCUAAAUAGGCUGCAAAGACUGAUGGAAAGGAACUUAAAGAUAACUUUGUAUUCAGCAAUAGUUUAAAAAACUCUGAGCAUUGAUUCUUGAAGCUGAAUUCAGAUUAAUGUAAUUAAUGCACAAUCUUUUUAACUAAGUAGAGAGUCAAAGAAAUGAGAAAGAAAUUUCUGGGGUCCGGACAGAGACUUGUAGCAGUGGUCCACAAGUAGCGUUGCGCGUCAAUUUGUAGAGUUUUAUUACGCACAUUUUUAUGUAUGAUUGUAGUUAUUAUUUGGCUAAGGAUAAGUAACGGAGAUUGAUGAAGAUGCCUCAUGCAAUUGAUAUCA